CCUGUGGAAGCGUCUUACUGCUCUAUUGGCGCUAAGUCACCUUCACGGGUGGUUUGGUGUCUCAAGGUAGUUUGGCGUUGCGGGCUCGGUCCAUCAGUGUGCCUCGCAAGGGGCCUCCAUUGGUGUGUUAACCGGCCCGCCCGUCCCCUCCUUCUGGAUUCCCGUUCCUGCUAUUGAUUUAGUGGGAACGUCACAGGGGGUCAGUCGUGUAAAAAGCGGCUGGUCUCUGGGGCCCAGAUCGUUUACCGUGAAAAAAUUAGAGUGUUCAAAGCGGGCAGAUAUUUUUCCUGCCACCGAAUACAUUAGCAUGGGAUAAUGGAAUAGGACCCUGACCUCCUAUUUUCAGUUGGUUUUGUUUACAGCGAGGUUAUAUCAGGGUAAUGAUUAAUAGGGAUAGUUGGGGGCAUUAAUAUUUAAUUGUCAGAGGUGAAAUUCUUGGAUUUAUGAAAGAUUAACUUCUGCGAAAGCGUUUGCCAAGGAUGUUUUCAUUAAUCAAGAACGAAAGUUAGGGGAUCGAAGACGAUCAGAUACCGUCGUAGUCUUAACCAUAAACGAUGCCGACCAGCGAUUAGGAGACGUUGAAUACAAAACACCGCCGUUAAUCCUUUCGGGGGUUAAUGGUUGGUGAAUGACUCCCC
rnacentral:rRNA from 1 species